UUCUUAAAUGCUCAGUUUAGUGCUGGAGGUUUAGGAUUGCGUGAACAGGUAGCCCAUGGAGAUGGGGAAAGGACCAGAGUUUGAUAUGAGGUUGUGGUGUUCAAGUUUAUAAGAGGCUGAAGGAAACACACUGCUUCUCAUGCCUUUGUCUUGUUGAACAAGGUCAAAGUGACAGCCAGCAGGAAUUGAAAGGCAAAAAAGCACAUGGCUAAUCAAAACUGUCUGCUCCACAUAUGGAGUGAGGAAAGCAUGAGCUUUCCUUCCUAUCCUCCUAAGGGCAGAUAAAAGAGUGUGACAUGCAUGUGGAUAAUAAAAACAUCCAUGGCUAAAUAAGAUUUAAAGCAAAUAAACAUUCCUGCUUCAGGGCCAAAACCUGUCUCUGACAGACAGAAGUUAGAAAGGAGGUAUUUUUCUGCUUUUCUUGAAGCUAUCUACUGUCCUGUGCUGGAUGGUGACCAGGAGGAGUGUUUGGUAGCUGGUGGCCCUAGGCAGGAUCUGCUUUAAUCCUGUCAUAGAUGUUGUGCUAAUUAGGCUUGAGCCAAUUUAAUACAUGAGUAAGGAGCAGGCACAUCCUUCACAAAACUGUGUUAAUGUCUUUCCAGAAAAAAACCUCCAAUCUAGGGGAGGGCCACCCUCAGCAUCCUGCUGUGUCUCUAAGAGGGACUGCACGGAGAACUGGCUUUUCCUCCUGCCCUGUGGUCCCAGUGCAGCACUUACCAUGUUCCCAGUGGAUGUAUCACCAAAUAUGGUUGUGGUUUCGUUCAGAAGUGCUGCCUGUGAAGUUGUGCCAGACACCAGGGAGACUUUUCACUUAGGAGAGCAUCUCAGACUCCCUGCAUACCCUCAAGCUGCAGUUCCUGCUUCCCUGUUCCCUUCCAGUCUGUGACAUGCUGAUGUUCAAUAGCUGCCACAGGAAAAGCCUCCUGGCAUUGAGACCCCAGUGAAAAGGGGAAGAGAAGGUUAUAGUAAUUCACAUUAUCAGGGCCCUUUCCACUGUUUUCAGUGCCCUGACCUCCCAAGAAGAGGGUCGCAACCCAUAAAAAUGGCAAGAUGUUCUGCUUCCUUCUUCCCUUUCCAUUUCCCUUUCCUUCCUUAGUGAGGACAGCUGACAAAUGAGUGGAGCCGGCUGAUGUCCUGAGCAAGCUUGUUCCACAGGGAACAUGUGAUGGAAUGGACUUCCUGGUCAGGGCAGCAUCUGUGCUCUUUGGGCAUGAUCAGGCUUUCCUGAUUUUCAGGCCCUGUUCACUGCCACAUGCAGUUCCAGCCACAGGUAUUGAAGAAGCAGAGAGGCCAGAUCAGCCUCUUGGGAAGAUUGCAGUCAGAUAAUUUCAAACAGGACUUCAUUAAUUAUAAAUGAACAGGCUCCCUUGAGCUGCUGUAGCUCUGUAUGAGUCACAUUCUAACUGAGCGGAUUUUUUUCUCCUGAGGAGUUGCCAAACGGGCUCUGAAUAGUGUGAUGGAUAAAUAAGGAACCAGCUGUGCUCUGCAACCAGCCCAACCAGGGCCUUUCUACAGCAGUAGCCCACAGCAAUCUCUCUGCCUCACUCUGCACUCCCAUCCCUUGGGUUUUGCCACCUGAUCAUUCUCUCCAGGUUUCUUUUUCCUAGUGGCAUGACUUGUUUUCUCUUGUAACCUCUUUCUCAGCAUGUAGUCUCCGCCCUUGGUAAUGCAUGGACAUAUGCUUAGACAACAGCAUGAGCAAGAAAUGCAGUUGUAGGACACCAGUUGUCUGGUCUGUGCCUCUGUCUCAGAGAUUGCCCUGAUUAAAUAAAAACAGAAGGAACAAUAAAACCAGAAAGCCUUGGCUUUAGACUAGGAACUGGACAAUUUCUCUUGUUUUCUGACAACAAGCCACUGCUUAUACAGCUCUUUGCCUGCUGGCGGCCUCCUCCCAGGGAGAAGCCAAGAUGUCCCCAAGGCUCUGAGGGAUGCACCAUGAGUGUGUGGAGGUGUCUGAAGUGCCAGGCUGUGUGUCUGGCUGUAGUGGCUUGUCUGUUGGGUGGGAAUGUCUACUUCCCUGGGUGCCCAUAAAUAUGGGUGUCAUGAGCUGUGGGUAUCCCAUAGAAAAGGCAAUGGGUAGAAAUGCUGUCCAUGGAGGAUUUGCUAGCUGUGUUUGCAAGUUCAGAAGCUGCUUUUCCUGCCUGUCUGAUGCCCAUGGUUAAAAAGAUCCUCUUCAGAGAUCUCUCUGUAUUGCUGCCUUGAAAUUGUUUCUCUAUCCAGCUCUUCACAGCUGCCAUGUUCUCCCUUCUGGUGUGAGAUGGCUCUUGUCAGAGAAGCUGUGAGUUCUACCUCUACAAGGCUGGCUCCACACCCUGAUUUUUAAGCCAGUGAGCCUGGCCAACCUUCCCAUGCCCUUGAGCCCUGAGCAAUGGGAGCACUCCUUCUUCCUCUGCAGGAGCUGCAGGCAGCUUCUGAAUCCAUGGAAUGUGUCCCAUCUGCAGUGUGUUAUGGGUAUGCUCUCAGCAGAGGAAGAAGCACAUGUGGGUUGUGAACCCUUCUGAAGAGGAAGAAAAGGGGCUAAUUAAUCGAAGGGAUACAGUGCCAGGAGCCACAUCUGGGGGCCAACUGGCCCUGGAAGCGUGGCUCCCAGGUGUUAACCACCCCAAGGGAAUUGUGCAGAGCUGGUGUGGACCCAAUGGGUGGGGUAAUGUAGGUGUAAGGGGACCUAGCACAGAGGGGCCCCCAUCAGCACAGUCUGGAAGAGUCCCUUCUCCCUAUCCUUUGAGAGGGCUCAGGAUGAUGUGACUUAUGCUUGUCCCUCCAGGUCACAGCCCACUUUGACCCCUCUGUCUUUGGCCCUGUGGCUUUGAUCCUCAGCUGCCCAAGCACCCCACCCUGCCUGCCAUAGACAGAGCAGGUACAAAGUGUCAUCAAUGCAGGCCACAUUUGCUCCUCUUCUCUGCAGGGUCUGAUGACCCCCUUGCUUUCUGGACUGGCUGUCAGGCCUGCCUCAUUCAGCUCAGUGCCCUGGCCCUAGAAAGCAUGGACUUGUAGAGGUGCUGCAGCUGUCUGCCCUCGGAUUCUCCUGGGGUGCCACUUCUGUUACCUAGAAGGUCACAUGGUGAAUUAAGGGAAGUGAAGGCAGCAAAAAGCACUGUGAACUGCCUGCCUGAAGGUCAUGUCCCCAGAGGUGCCCUGUGCUCCUUUCUGCUGAGGGCUGGGCUAUCAAACUCUGCUUGCCAGUUUAUUGCCCCAUCCUCACUCUGCUCUUGCUGAUUUCUCUUCCUAAGUGAGGGCUUGACCUCAGAAGCAAGCAGCCCAACCAUCCACACUCUGCCUGUGCAAGUUCCUAAGCAAUGAGGUAUUUCAUGUUUGACUGCUGAGCCCCCACUCUGCAGCAUGCUGAAGCCCAACCUGCACUAGGACUCCCCACACCCCCUGUCCGUCCCCUUUUCUAAUGGGUUUGGUUUUGGGAAUGGCCAAAUAUGAGCCAUAGAGCGCCUGCACAUAACUCCUGUGCCCUCAGCUCCUUGUGCCAGACAACCCUCAGGUGGGGGCAUUGGGGGCACUGGCCUCAGCUGGCCCCUGUUCUGCUGCAGCACUCCCAUGGGAUCAAAUGGCAUCAGCACAUCCCUGAAAAGCUAAGGAGUGUUUGCCUGUGUGAGGCAGCAAGGAGCUCAGUGUCCAGCUCCAGGGGGUUACUGUAAACACGAAGCUAAGCUGAUUUGAGAAGGGAUGCCAGCUCCCUGGGCCAGGCUCCACGGCAGCCAGGGGCAGCUGCAAGAGGUGCCAGAGGGCCGCUGAUGGCUCUCUUUGUACAUUUCAUUGCUCAGCCCCAUGAGGGAGGCACAAGCUCCUGGAGCCCAACUACUGCUGGUGCCCCAAGUGUCGGCUCCUGUGCACAUGUUGUCCCCUGGGGAUGCUGAAGUCGUCUUCUUCUCUGGGGUGAUCCAACACCUCUGGGAAGGAGGAAUCCACUUGUGCCCCCUGUUCUGGGGUCUCCUGUUCUGGUGUUGAGCAUUACCCUGGCUCUUGGCUGCUUUGUUUAUGGCUUUGUUUAUGGCAUUGAUGUCAGGUUUAGGCACAAGCAUUCUUUCCACUGCUGCAUAAGAAAGCAAUUAGGUGAGGAUGGAAAGGACAUUCUUCUUCCUCAGAACAAAGAAACAAGCCACGGCUGUUAGUGAGCAUUGCUUAUGACAUCCACUGCCGUGCAAACUCCUGCCCAAGGGACUGUCUCUGCCCUGAUAGGACAGAGAGGCAAGCUGAUUGCAUCCCAGGAAGUGCCAAAGCACCCUUUGAAAUUUCUGCCUGCUCUUCAGCUGCCAGCACCAAGGUAAAGCCUGAACCCACUCUGCCCAUUAUUCUGGUCACACUUGCUCAUCUGUGGUUACCUCACAUCUCCCUCACUUGCCAUCCCCAGCCACAAGGAAUGCACUGAGGUCCUGCUCCACCCUAGACCAAGCAUGCUUUCAGGGGGAUUCAUUCCCUGUGCUUUUGCUCCUUUCCCCGCUCCUCUGCAUAUUGGAGGGUAGGCAGCAGAGCUCCUAUCCGAAGAAGGAGGUGGCUGUGGUCUGAGAGAGCAUAAAAGUCAAGGGGCAAUGAGAAGAAGGGAGGUGGAACCACUGGUUUCAAAUAAGAGAGGCUUUAGGAGCACAACUGCUGGAGGCUGGAGAGAUAGAACUGGAUGAGCUGGACAGACCCCUCUGCCACAAAGCUGCUGGAAAGCAGACAGCUUGGUGAGGACCAGGGAAGGCAGCACCUGUAGUGGGCGGCUGAAGGGAGAAAAGCAUCAGUGGGAUGGGGCUGUAAUGGGCUGGGGAAGCAGUGGGCACAGAAGAGGAGCCAGUAGUCCUAUGUUACUGUCACCCCACAGAACAAAAGGAACAAAAGAAAUCAGAUAAAAUCAUGGACUGAUGACAAUUUGCCUUUUAAACCCAGUGGAUGAGCUGCAGCACCUGGCUGAAGGAGCCCCUACCCUGCAAGCUGCUGGAAGACGUAAAGAUGCCCCUGAAGGAUCACUCUGUGCACAUGCAGAACUCCUUGUGUUCUCCUGCAGACAUCCACCUGCUGUGCUCAGGGUCAGCACAGGACCUGCUGCAGGCACAGAACCCAGUGAGUAUCUCCUUCCUGUGAGCAUCUGCAGUGCCCUAAUCUGUCUCUUUGCAUGUAGAGAUGCAGCAAGAGGCCUUUAGUCACCCACUAAGGUAACAAAUGCUUCUGUGGGUUGGAAUGAGCCCAUCCCAAAUAAAGGACAGUGCGAGGAUUUGCUCCUCACCCAAGAUGGCCAAGAGCAGCAGAGAUCUGUAGAGAUGUAGUAGAGCAUGAGGUUAAGAUGAUGUAUGUGGCUGAAAGGGGAUUUGUGCCCCUGUUCUCCCUCCUCCUACUCUUCUCAGUCUUUUCCAGUGCAUAUAAAGAAAAACAGUCAUUGAAAGUCCUCCUUCAACCUCAGGCAGAGGCAGAUGGGGGGGAAGGAUGGACAUCUACUCUAAGCUCUUGGAAUAUGUCUCCUGAAAGAUCUCUCAGGCUGAAGGGCCUGGAGCUUAUAGGUGGGUCCUAUAAGCUCCAGCUCUAGCCUGAACUUAUACAAGGAAGAUUAUAAGCCCCUGAACGAAGUUGGGAAGAUCUAAGAGCUCUGGAGCCAGCGUGGGAUAGCCAGCAAGGCUUUUCCCAUUGUCGUGCCUUUCUCCUGGUAGACGCGAUCCAGAACAG
rnacentral:lncRNA from 1 species